AAUUCGCCCUUAGAGUUUGAUCCUGGCUCAGGACGAACGCUGGCGGCGUGCCUAACACAUGCAAGUCGAACGGAGUUAAGAGAGCUUGCUCUUUUAACUUAGUGGCGGACGGGUGAGUAACGCGUGAGUAACCUGCCUUUCAGAGGGGAAUAACAUUCUAAAAAGAAUGCUAAUACCGCAUGAGAUCGUAGUAUCGCAUGGUACAGCGACCAAAGGAGCAAUCCGCUGAAAGAUGGACUCGCGUCCGAUUAGCUAGUUGGUGAGAUAAAGGCCCACCAAGGCGACGAUCGGUAGCCGGACUGAGAGGUUGAACGGCCACAUUGGGACUGAGACACGGCCCAGACUCCUACGGGAGGCAGCAGUGGGGGAUAUUGCACAAUGGGGGAAACCCUGAUGCAGCAACGCCGCGUGAAGGAAGAAGGUCUUCGGAUUGUAAACUUCUGUCCUCAGGGAAGAUAAUGACGGUACCUGAGGAGGAAGCUCCGGCUAACUACGUGCCAGCAGCCGCGGUAAUACGUAGGGAGCAAGCGUUGUCCGGAUUUACUGGGUGUAAAGGGUGCGUAGGCGGAUCUGCAAGUCAGUAGUGAAAUCCCAGGGCUUAACCCUGGAACUGCUAUUGAAACUGUGGGUCUUGAGUGAGGUAGAGGCAGGCGGAAUUCCCGGUGUAGCGGUGAAAUGCGUAGAGAUCGGGAGGAACACCAGUGGCGAAGGCGGCCUGCUGGGCCUUAACUGACGCUGAGGCACGAAAGCAUGGGUAGCAAACAGGAUUAGAUACCCUGGUAGUCCAUGCCGUAAACGA
rnacentral:rRNA from 1 species